rnacentral:rRNA from 1 species
GAUGAACGCUGGCGGCGUGCCUAAUACAUGCAAGUCGAGCGAAUGGAUUAAGAGCUUGCUCUUAUGAAGUUAGCGGCGGACGGGUGAGUAACACGUGGGUAACCUGCCCAUAAGACUGGGAUAACUCCGGGAAACCGGGGCUACUACCGGAUAACAUUUUGAACCGCAUGGUUCGAAAUUGAAAGGCGGCUUCGGCUGUCACUUAUGGAUGGAUCCGCGUCGCAUUAGAUAGUUGGUGAGGUAACGGCUCACCAAGGCAACGAUGCGUAGCCGACCUGAGAGGGUGAUCGGCCACACUGGGACUGAGACACGGCCCAGACUCCUACGGGAGGCAGCAGUAGGGAAUCUUCCGCAAUGGACGAAAGUCUGACGGAGCAACGCCGCGUGAGUGAUGAAGGCUUUCGGGUCGUAAAACUCUGUUGUUAGGGAAGAACAAGUGCUAGUUGAAUAAGCUGGCACCUUGACGGUACCUAACCAGAAAGCCACGGCUAACUACGUGCCAGCCGCCGCUGUAA